rnacentral:tRNA from 1 species
GGAAUACCAAGAAAAUAGUAAAAGCUGCUAACUAACUACUAAAGCGGUUAAACUCCGUUUAUAUUCCU